ensembl:snRNA U2 U2 spliceosomal RNA
AUCACUUCUCUGCCUUUUGGCUAAGAUCAAGUGUAUUUAAAACUAUGAAAUAUUCUGACUUUUUUUACUUACUGGAAAACCAGACUUUUUCAGCAUUUGAAUCUAGGUUUCAGUGGCAUGUUCUGAAAUCAGUUUUCACCUGUG